UACGAAGGGGGCUAGCGUUGUUCGGAAUUACUGGGCGUAAAGGGCGCGUAGGCGGCGUGUCAAGUCAGGCGUGUAAGCCCCGGGCUCAACCUGGGAACCGCGCUUGAGACUGGCAUGCUCGAGUUCGGGAGAGGAUGGUGGAAUUCCCAGUGUAGAGGUGAAAUUCGUAGAUAUUGGGAAGAACACCGAUGGCGAAGGCAGCCAUCUGGACCGACACCGACGCUGAGGCGCGAAAGCGUGGGGAGCAAACAGG
rnacentral:rRNA from 1 species